rnacentral:lncRNA from 1 species
GCUGCUUCUUCUGUUACAACUGCUGCUUCUUCUGUUACAAGCUCGAAGUCAUGGGAAGAUUUCCGAAAGUAUCGCUCCCAGCAUCCAGGCCCUCUAUCUAUGAGGGCCUUCUAUCGCUGGUGUUUGUAUGGGGACGACCAUCCCUACUUUAGAUGAAGGGAUGGCACCCCAUACAACACGGGGAAUAGAGAGGAUGCUGGGAGGAGAAGACAACGUGGCUCAAAAGUUGUCAAUAAUU